UACGUAGGGGGCUAGCGUUGUCCGGAAUUAUUGGGCGUAAAGAGCUCGUAGGCGGUCAGUCGCGUCUGCUGUGAAAACUCGGGGCUUAACUCCGGGCCUGCAGUGGGUACGGGCUGACUAGAGUGCGGUAGGGGAGGACUGGAAUUCCUGGUGUAGCAGUGAAAUGCGUAGAUAUCAGGAGGAACACCGAUGGCGAAGGCAGGUCUCUGGGCGACACUGACGCUCAUGCACGAA
rnacentral:rRNA from 1 species